GAAAAGAAGAAGAAGGAGAAGGAGGAGAAAGGGAGAGAGAAGAAGAGAGAGAGGAGGGAGCAAAUCCCAACCGUUUUUGGUGAUUCAAAAGCCUAAACCACUCUAAAUCUUCCCUUCUUUCAUAAUCCUAGCUUAGUUUUGAGUGGGGAGCAUUGUGGAGAGAGAUAUUGCCUCUCAAAAAUUCGGCCUUUUGGUGAAAUUUGGGAUUUUGAGUGCUUCAACCUCCAUUAAAGCUUGAGGAGCCAUCAAUCCUUGGUUGUGCAACCAUUGGUGGAUUGAAGCAUUUGGACCAACCGUAAGUGAUCAACCAUUGGAGCAAGCUAUGGAGCUUGAUUAGCUCCAUUGGAUAGGUUUUGUUUGAGAAAUGGAGUAUUGUAAUUGACUGACUGUGGAACCUGUUGGUGGGAACAAAGGUUGGCUGAAGCUUGAGGUAAGCCUUCAGACCUUGGGUGUAAUUCCCUUGACUGUUCCACCAAGCCCUGAAAGGGUAGAGGUUGUGAUUGUGUAUAUAAAUGCAAUAAAAUAGUGUAAUGUGUUGUUAUACGUAUGUGUAUGCAUUUGGUGUGGCAUAGGAUGGUGUUUCCCUAUGUGGUAUGUUGCAUGACGAUGCGUAAAUCAUACUUGGUAGUUAGCUGGCCAGUAGGACUAUUUGCAUCUGAGUUUCCUUAGGACAGCUUGAGAGCUCGAGGGAUUUCUCUUGGAGAUGUUAUUGCACUUUGCAUAGAUAUGUAUUUACUGCAUUAUUAUUGUUAUUGCUAUUACACUGAUAUGGAACUGUGGGGUGGAGAGAUGCUCCGAGGACCCCUGGUUUACUGGAUAUAUUCGUAUAUCACACCCCGUGUUGUGGGGACCCCCUUUCAAUUAAGGAUGCUACAGGAGCCACCGGUGGCAAGUGGCCAUACUUGGACUAGUAUUGAUGCAUGAGGAU